UACGUAGGUGACCAGCGUUGUCCGGAUUUACUGGGCGUAAAGAGCGCGCAGGCGGUCGUUCAAGUCGAGUGUGAAAGCCCCCGGCUCAACUGGGGAGGGUCAUUCGAUACUGAUCGACUUGAAGGCAGGAGAGGGAAGCGGAAUUCCCGGUGUAGUGGUGAAAUGCGUAGAUAUCGGGAGGAACACCAGUGGCGAAGGCGGCUUCCUGGCCUGUUCUUGACGCUGAGGCGCGAAAGCUAGGGGAGCAAACGGGGAUUAGAAACCC
rnacentral:rRNA from 1 species